rnacentral:rRNA from 1 species
GGACCCGACUGCUAUCAGAGUGGGACUAAGCCAUGCGAGUCAACAUAGCAAUAUGUGGCAUACGGCUCAGUAACACGUAGUCAACAUGCCCAGGGGACGUGGAUAACCUCGGGAAACUGAGGAUAAACCGCGAUAGGUCAUCACUUUUGGAAUGGGUAAUGACUUAAACCUAUAUGGCCCCUGGAUUGGACUGCGGCCGAUCAGGCUGUUGGUGAGGUAAUGGCCCACCAAACCUGUAACCGGUACGGGCUUUGAGAGGAGGAGCCCGGAGAUGGGCACUGAGACAAGGGCCCAGGCCCUAUGGGGCGCAGCAGGCGCGAAACCUUUGCAAUAGGCGAAAGCUUGACAGGGUUACUUUGAGUGAUUUCCGUUAAGGAGAUCUUUUGGCACCUCUAAAAAUGGUGCAGAAUAAGGGGUGGGCAAGUCUGGUGU